rnacentral:sRNA from 1 species
UUGUCAAAACGUAUUUCUUGGGUAGACUUGAUAUGUUGUUUAAAAAUGACUACUUGUUUUUUUCUUUUAUGGGCUAACCAAAUUUAAUUUCUUGGUCAUCUUUUUCCCUACUGACAAUAUCAAAAUUCAAGUACCUAAUCCAAUAAUAUAUUGUUUUCCAAAAUUGUUUGUCUAUGUUCAUUUAGUCCUCCACUAUG